CCUGGCUCCAAACAGAGGUUCCUCUCUGAUUAAAGGAGAGUUAGUUCUUGAGUGAGAUCAACCAGCUCAGCAGAGAAGCUCCCCCAGCUGCAGGAGGGCUGGAGUGGAUUACAGAGUCCUGAAUCACCUAUGACUGAGGCUGGUUGCUUUGGACACAUAACUGAGAACUGUCACGCACAAAAGGUGAACUUCAUGGACAAGCUUUCUGGUUGCAGGGAGCUCGGGAAAGACUCCAUGAACACGUUUACCCUCUGAGUGUGCAUGGUCUCUGGAAACACUGGGAGAAACAGGUGUGCUUACCUGUCUGACUGCUCUGGACCUUCAAGGCCACAUUCCCCUUCUGCUUCACAUGAAUCAGCAUCCAAAUGUCUGACCCCUUUUUGUUUCCUUUCUUGGUAUAAAUAUAAAUAUUGGAUACAGAUCACACCUGAUCCAUAAAAAUAAGUGGGGAAUCAUGCUAGAUGAAGGUUGGCUCUCUGGCAACAUGAAACUUUCUGCUGCUUUGAAAUCACCAUAUAGACUAACUAGACAAAGUGACACACAAUAAUUCCGUUGCCUGAGAAGGAGGGAAUUCUGCAAACUCACAUUGGGAUGUUGGUUCUGUUUCAAGCUGCUGUGUCAUAAAGGAGUUUUUGAAAGGAAUUUACUUCAGCCUACAUGAAAAGGAAUCCUGAGAUGGCCAUUUUCCACACAAUGGAGUGGAUUGUGUUUCUUUUCCAAUAAACAGUGAGGAGCCACUGGAGAUGGAAAUGCAAUGAAAUGGGUGGUGGAAAGAAAAACCCUGAAGAACUCCUAGAGGAUUACAGUCUACAUGUGAGAGCUAAAAUAAUGAAGCUUCUAGAACAAAGCCCAAGAGGAUAACUUCAGGCUCUAAAGCUGUUCCAAACAGAUAUUGCCCAAGAUAUCCAGAUAAUUAAUGAAAAACAUAUGAGAAGUUACUCAACAUCAUUACUCAUCAAGGAAAUCUUCAUUUUAACCACAAUACCACCUCAAGAUCGACUAAUCAAGCGUGACAACACCAAGUAUUGCCAGGAUUUGCAGCCACUGGAACUUGAACUCCCAGCUGCUGGAGUGGAAAUAGAAAGGGGCAGUGUUUACUGAAACCAAACCUGGGGAUUCAGCACUUGCAUUCUGAGAAAGGUACCCAAGGAAAGGAAGUGCGUAAGUCCACAAAUGAUCUUGCAAAAAUGUUCUUAAAAUCUUUACCAAUAACAGUCUCCAAUCUAGAAGGAACUCAUAGAUUGAAAAGGGAAUUGUGAUAGAUUCAUAUACUAGAGAACUUUACUGAGGUAAAAA